GGGACAUCGUCACCCGCGAAGCCGGCCUUGCACAUGCCAGAGCUGUUGUCAACAACGAGCGCAGCAAUAUCAUCAUCCAUGAUAGUAAGACCCUCAAGGACAUGGACUGAGUCUGAUUUUCCUGUGGUCUUGUUUGUCCAGCUGUCCAUGCAUGAUCUCCAUAUGGGCAUCCCACAGGCACAUCACCAUGCCCACUGCUGAACUCAUCUGAAGCACUCUCUGAAUGUCCAUACAUCACCCAAGCCUCUAUCAUUGCGUCUCCCACAUGAGCUUGCUGUUUCCUAUUUAUGAGUCUGACUCUCCUACUAGGUAGUGAACAACUGAAGACAGAAACCAGGUGAGUUUCAUUUGUUCUUCUAUCCCUGCUGCCCAACACAGUGCCUGCCACAUAGAGGUUAAUUCAUGUUCAUUGAACUGAACCAGAUAUUUGUAUCUUCAGGGCCAGUUACCUAAGAAAUGCUCAAGACCUGUUUGUUACAUUACAUUCUAGAAAAGAUGCUUCUCCCAAAGCCUUCUGCCCACCCUCCUUCUCUGGCAGGCUUGGAUUAACACUGAGAGCCAAUAGUUUGUCACAUAGCAACAAUAGUAAAGAAUGAGCUACUGCCGAAUAGAGCAGAUGCUUGCCUGCUCCAGAGAGCAGAGCAGAGCUAUUUUGAGAUCCUUUAGGUAGAGUCACAGUCUGAUAGGUCCACCCAUUGUGGCUACAGUUACCACACAUGGCAUCAGCUUAGGGGGUACAAGGCAUCAAAAAAAUCUUAUUUGCAUAUCAGUUUCUUUUGCCAUCCUUUGGAGAAUCCUUUUAGAAUAUAAAGGACUAGGCCGGGUACGGUGGCUCAUGCCUGUAAUCCGCGCACUUUGGGAGGCAGAGGCAGGCAGAUCAACUGAGGUCGGGAGUUUGAGACCAGCCUGACCAACAUGGAGAAACCCUGUCUCUACUAAAAAUACAAAAAAAUUAGCUAGGUAUCGUGGCACAUGCCUGUAAUCCCAGCUACUUGGGAGGCUGAGGCAGGAAAAUUGCUUGAGCCUGGGAGGCGGAGGUUGCGGUGAGCCGAGAUCAUGCCAUUGCACUCCAGACUGGGCAACAAGAGUGAAACCAUGUCUCAAAAAAAAAAAAAAAAAAAAAAGGAAAAAAAAAAGAAUAUAAAGGACCAAAUUUUAGGUAUUUUUUUAUAAUUUUCUAAUUAUGAAGUCAAUUGGGCUUUUGUUUAUAAUACUGUUAACAUUUUAAUAUUCCACUGAAUUACUGUACAGAUGUGCUAAUUGAUAGAUAAGAUGACCACAUAUUCUAGGGCCGGGCGUGGUGGCUCACACCUGUAAUCCCAGCACUUUGGGAGCCCAAGGCGGGUGGAUAACCUGAGGUCAGGAGCUCAAGAUCAGCCUGGCCAACGUGGUGAAACCCUGUCUCUACUAAAAAUACAAAAAUUAGCUGGGCAUGGUGGUGCAUGCCUGUAGUCCUAGCUGCUCAGGAGGCUGAGGCAGAAGAAUCGCUUAAACCCGGGAGGCAGAGGUAGCAGUGAACUGAGAUCGCACCACUGCACUCCAGCCUGGGUGACAGAGUGAGACUCUGUCUCAAAAAAAAAAAAAUGACCACAUAUUCCAAAAUAGGACCCAGGUGUCCUAUAUUCCAAAAGGCAGGACCCAGGUGUCAGCCCAAACUUCCCAGCAUCAUACCCAUGGCCCUCUGUUGUCUGGCUGGGCCCACCUUUUCAGUGUCCUCUCCUGCCUGGGCACAUGAUGCUUUACCCAUGGUGAGCAGCAUUCAGGCACCAAUGUGACAGGUGCUUAUGCUCAUGCAUUAUCCAUCUAUGUUUGCCUUGAGGGAGCCCCACCACUCUGGCCAGUAACUAUUUAUUUCUACAAGCUUCUCUCCAAGUAGAUGGUGUGUCACCAGGACAGGAACAGUGUGUACUCCAUCUUUGAAUUCCUAGUACCCAGCACAGUGCUGGGCGCAGAGAAGAGGCUUCAUAAGGGUUGGGUUGGGGUAUAAAGAGUGCAAGUUCUGGCCAGGCAUAGGGGCCCAUGCCUGUAAUUCCAGCACUUUGGGAGGCUGAGGCAGAAGGAUGGCUUGAGGCCAGAAGUUCGAGACCAGCCUGGGUAACACAGCGAGACCCCGUCACUACAAAAAAUACAAAAAUUUUGCUGGGUGCAGUGGCUCACGCCUGUAAUCCCAGCACUUUGGGAGGCUGAGGUGGGCAGAUCGCUUGAACCCAGGAGCUCAAGACCAGCCUGGGCAACAUGGAGGUCUAAAGCAAGUGAAAUGUCCUUCAUUAAUGAGUACAAAGACUUACUCUCCCUCUGGUUUAAAGUCUCUGCUAAAAACAGAAAAAUAAGCUGGGCAUGGUGGUGCAGACCUGUAAUCCUAGCUACUCGGGAGGCUGAGGUGGGAAGAUCAGCUGAGCCGGGGACUUGGAGGUUGCAAUGAACCAGCAUCGUGCCACUGCACUCCAGCCUGAGCCACAGAAUGAAACACUGUCUCAAAAAAAAAAAAAUUAGCUGGGUAUGGCACUGCACAUCUGCAGUGAGGCUGAGUGGGAAGGAUCACUUGAGCCCAGGAAUUGGAGGCUGCAGUGAGGCAGGAUCGCACCACUGCACUCUAGUCUGGGCAACAGAGUGAGAUCCUGUCUCUAUAAAAACAAUUUCUUUUUUUAAAGAGUGCAAGAUCCUUGGUUACCUCUGGUUCCGCUGGUGCAUUUCAUUCCUGAUGGUGGCACAAUCAUGCCUAAUGAUAUGGAAAGUCACAAGUUCUGUGGCUGUUUUUGUGGGUUUGCCACUCUGUUUUUAAAUUCUAUGGAAAAGAUAUUGUGUGCAUGUGAGUGUGUGUUUGUGAGCAUGUUUAUGUAUAGAACUUCCCUCUUUCUUUAUUCAUUCAAUAAACACUCAUUGGCUAUGUAUUCUAACCCAGUUCCUGUCCUAGGUGCUAAGGUCUUGAGGAAGCAUAAGACCUGCCUCCUGCCCAAAGAAAGUAGUAAGGGUUCUGUAGAAAGAGUCCUGGAUAUCAUGCUGGAAGACCUCCAUUCCAACCUUCCUUUUGCUUCAGUUUGGGGCCUCAUGAAGGACAUUUCAUUUCCUUUAGAGCUCGUUUCCCAGAGUAAACACUUACUCUAUUUCUGGUGUAAUUAUAAAGAAUCCAGUCAAGCUAUCUGAGAUUCCAGAAGACAGAGAGGUUGACUGGCACCCUGAUGGACAAGUAAGCUAGAUCAAGUCCUUUUCAGGGCCAGAAAGCCCUUGUGGCUGUAGUAGCAUAGAUGAGGUUGGGGCAGGUGGGGAUCCACUAACCCUGACCAGAUUCACAAAUCGAUGGUAUGUAUUCAUCUGAACGAUAAGUUUGGGUUGAGUCCCUCUUCAUCAGGUCUUAAAUUAGGAGCUGGGAAAGAGAGAUGGACGACAUGGUCGCCUUCCCUGCUGUGCAGGAAAGGCUGACAAGGACCCAGGCAACUAUAAUAUGGUGUGUAAUGUAGGUGAUUCAAAAGUACAGGAUAGGCUGGGAAUGGUGGCUCACACCUAUAAUCCCAGCACUUUGGGAGGCUGAGGCAGGAGGAUCGCUUGAGGCCAGGAGUUCGAGACCAGCCUGGACAACAUACUGAGAGCUGUCUCUAUUAAAAUAAUAAUAAUAGCCAGGCAC
rnacentral:lncRNA from 10 species